AGAAACAAGAGAUGCUACCAGAAGACUACAGAUUGCAAGGAACAAUACAAAGAAAGUCUGGCCCUCCCCAAGCAGUAAGUUAUCUUGUCUCCCCCUUACAGAUGGGCAAACUGAGGGGCAGGAAGGCAAUGCGACUACCCAGGGGCAUCCAAAAAGCUGGGUUUUGUCUCUAGUCAAAGCCCCACUGGUCUGAGACAGAGCAGUGACUACAAACCUUGGCCAUACCCUCAGGAAUGCCACCAGUAUCUCAGUCUCAUCUUGGAUGAGACCCCUAAGAAUAUGCAUCCUUUUCACUGUUUUCAUAGACACCAAGCACAGCCCUUUGGGAUAAGGCAGGUGCAGCUGUAGCCACAGGCCCUAGAGUUGUGUGGGGGACACUGAGCCAGGUCCUUUGGAGGCAGCCCACAUUAACCCCCUACCCAGUCUCAUCUAGGCCCACCCCUGCCAUACUAAAUGGGCAAUGGGACAUGGUAAUCAUGGUAGGGUGAGGGGUCCCCUAAGCAGUUUGGGCAGACGCUCAUCUGGGAUGGUGUAGCCAGGGAUGAUCCUGCUUUGAGCAGGGAGCUCCACUAGAUAAUCUUGUGGGGUCCCUUCCAGCCCUACUUGUCUAUGAUCCUAAGCGCCACAGCAGUAUAUGGGUCACUGGUCCAGAAAGACAAGGACAGAGACGGAGAGAAGCAAAGUGCCACGGAAGCACAUCUCACGUGAAAAGGUCCACAGAAGAGAUGGAGAAGAACCACCAACAAGGGUUGGGACAAUGUAAGGUGGGGAGCCAGUGGCAUUCAGAGGGUUAAAAGUGGUUCUUGCUGACCAUAACGCAAUGGCAUAUGGAAGCCUGGCAAAGGCUGGGGGACAGGGGGAGUUAGGGGCUUUUGUGGUAGUGGUGAGGGAAAGCAAGCAGGUUACAGCACUGGAGAGGCAGCUUAGGAUGCCUGGAGGAUGGUUUAAUUCUCACAGGUGGGAGGAGGCGGCAGCUCAGCUUUUCAGCAGCAACUUGCAAGCAGAUGUACUGUACAGGGUUCAGCAUGCUCUGGAGGUGGUGAUCACAGAGUGGGAGGUAACAGAUGAGGCAAAUAUUCCAGGCCACUUCUCAGCCUGGCCAUCUGGCUGCUCAGGGACAGUGGGAAAAGGGCACCAGCAAUCAAGCAUUGAGAAGCUUCCCAGGAAAAGGCUGCACUUUUACAGCAGCUCCACCCCCUGAUCAUGAAGACAUGGUGCUUGACCACAAUUCAGUCCACAUCUUCCAUUAUGCCUCCCUUCAUCCAAUAUAGGAGGUCUCCCAAAAUCAGUUCCUUGCCAUUGUAAGAGACUAUAUCAGAUGACCCCUUCAGUAAGGAUAUGAUAUUUCUACGCACCAGGUUCACUGGCAGAAGAGAAGAUAUACUGGAGCAGCUGCAAGCAGGGGAAAAUGGACACUCCAGAUGGAAAAGCUAAAAUCAGCCUGGCAAGGGGGGCCACUCAAAGGCAGGUGCAAAGAGGAGCAGCAUGUGCUAGGUAGCCAAACCAUGCCUAGCACUCUGACAGCCUUAUUUGUUCAGUAUCUCUGAUGGUACCAAUCUCACCACAUGGUUGCAGUUCUGGAGAACAGAACACAACAGAGGAUUUUGAUGACUGAUGAGGGCAGGGACAGCUCACCCCCAGAGGAGCUGAAAAGCCUCUUGACAAUGCAUAUCAGCUUUUGCUUUGGACAAGGGCAGAAUGCAGCCUGCCAGGACUUUAGGGUUAAUUUCCAUACAUGCUUCUACUGACAAUUGCACUGGGCCAUCUAUGGCUCGGGUCUCACCCAGCUUUUAAGAGAGAAAUCUGGGCUCUUGCAACUUCUGCUCACUCCUGGAAUCACUGUUAUAACACACCUUAAAAAAAAAA